rnacentral:rRNA from 2 species
UAGGGAAUAUUGGGCAAUGGGCGCAAGCCUGACCCAGCAACACCGCGUGAAUGAUGAAGGUCUUCGGAUUGUAAAGUUCUGUGAUGGGGGACGAAGAAAGUGACGGUACCCCAAUAGCAAGCUCCGGCUAACUACGUGCCAGCAGCCGCGGUAAUACGUAGGGAGCAAGCGUUGUCCGGAAUGACUGGGCGUAAAGGGUACGUAGGUGGCUAUUCAAGUUAGUGGUGAAAUUCCGGGGCUCAACUCCGGCGCUACCACUAAGACUGUUUAGCUUGAGUGCAGGAGGGGUAAGUGGAAUUCCUAGUGUAGCGGUGGAAUGCGUAGAUAUUAGGAGGAACACCAGUGGCGAAGGCGACUUACUGGACUGUAACUGACACUGAAGUACGAAAGCGUGGGGAGCAAACAGG